rnacentral:lncRNA from 1 species
GCACACCCCCGAGGCUGGCACGCACACCGGUCUCCUAGGGGACUGGCGCCUGGCCCUGCUUUUCAUCCUCUCAGGAGAUCACGUGUGGACACUGAGGCCCUUCCUCGAGCUCUUUAACCAAACCCAACCUCCCCAAUUCGCCGCCUUCCCCGCUCCCACAACCACACGUUCCCGUGUGAGGGCUUAUUGCCUCCAGCCAGCCAGCGUCCUUCGCCCCCACAUUCACGAGGUUUGGAGCCGGCCUCACCCGCGGAGGCGGACACCGCCCACCCGCGCGUGCGCACUACGCAGUCAUCCUGCGACCUCCAGAAUCCACCGGGGUGCAGCGAGGCUGUGGAAAGUCCCACCCAGAACGUGAGGUGAAGAAGGCUUGGGCUGCGCUGGUUCUGCUCUGUCCGGGUCGGAGAUGAACUGACCCGGGAGAGCAGCGGAGGGAUGUUUCUUUUGGCCAACAGUGGGGACUCACCUGCACGUUUUGCGAAGAGGCCCACAGUCCUUUGCGUGGCGCUCGGACUACAUUUCCCAACGGCCCCUGCACGCCCUGGGGGCUGUUCCAUGCGGUGUUGCGCCUGCGUAGCCGGCGGGCUGGCAGUGAGACUGACUGCGUCGGGGUUGAGACUGGGUGGAUGAGGCUCACCCCGGCGGGGAGAAGGGACGAGGAGGGGCGGACAGCGGAAGGUCCGGGAGUGUCCGCCAUAAAGUCGUUUGAGGUGACCGUUGCGUAAUUGUGAGUCUGUGAGAGAAGAUGUGAAGUAUGGCCUCGUCCCGGUCAUCUGGGCGUGCGGGUCCCGGGUUUUGAUCGCGCGUUUGUGUAGUUUUAACUUCUAGUCAUGGCGAAUGAUCGCAGGAGAGCACAGACUGGACCCUGCUACGAUCUCUCUUGGAGUGGAUCAGACUGAUGAUCACCAACAACCAACUCAUUCCCGGAUAAGGAAGAAGAGAGUGUCACCUACUUCAGUGUGGUUUCAACCCUACUUCUGCAUCUUAAAGACACUGUAUGGUUUCAGCAGUAGUGCCCCUGUUCAUUAGUCCCCCUGAUGUUUUCAUUCCUCAUCUCAUCUUUUUCUUAGCAGCAUUCAAUGAAUCCUUCAUUCUAGAAACACUCUAUAUCUUUGGUUUUCAUGAGACCAUUCUCACCUUGUUUUGUCCUGUGACUUUUUUGAAAAAAACAAAAACAAAAAACCCUUUUUUUCUUUUUAAAUUCUGGUAAAAAACACAAUGAAAAUUUGCUAUCUUAACCAUGUUGAAAUGUGCAGUUAGUAAAGUACAUUCACAUUGUGGUGCAAGCCAUCACUACCAUCCAUCACUAGAACCCUUUUCAUCUUGCAGAUCUGAAACUCUACCCAUUAAACGACUUCCCAUCUUCCCAUCCCCACAGCUCCUAGCAACCAACAUUCUACUUUCUCUAUCAGUUUGACUACUCUAGGUACCUCAUAUGAGUAGAAUCAUACAGCAUUUAUCCUUCUCUGCCUGGCUUAUUUCACUUGUAUAAUGUCCUCAAGGUUCAUUCAUGUUGUAGCAUGCAUCAGAACUUCCUCCCCUUUUAAAGGCUGGAUAAUAUUUCAUGGUAUGUUUAGAUCACAUUCUGUUUAUCCAUUCAUCCAUCAGUGAACACUUGUGCUCCUUCCAACUUUGGGCUGUUGGGUGUCCUGCCACUGUUGCUCCUAGUGCUCAAUCUCGUUUAUUCCCUCCUAAUCAAGUGUACAACGUUGGACACUGUGCAGGAUGAUGCCACUUCAUCUUGGAUGCUAAUCUGCCAUGUUGACUUCUGAUUAACCCCAGGCCCAGGAAUGCCUCAAGAUUUCUACUUUACUUACUGUUGCUUGUGUAAGCCAAGACAACCUUGAUGUUAUCAUAAACAUGUACUUACCUAAGUCCUGUCCUUUGGCAAAUUAUGGGCUAUGAGACACAGCAUUCUUGCCUUUCCCUGAGGGGUCAAUUUCAGCGAUCCUACACAUUCCUUCUGAAGCACUUAUGCUCUUUCUAUAUGGUAUGUAAGCUCUCGGUCUGGGGAGUAACAGUGCAGAGAUCUACCUGUCUUGUUGCCACAUGUUUCUAAACUUUCCAAUAAAUCACCUUCUACUGACAAACUGGA